GGGGCUAUAGCUCAGCUGGGAGAGCACCUGCUUUGCACGCAGGGGGUCAGCGGUUCGAUCCCGCUUAGCUCCA
rnacentral:tRNA from 1 species